AUUCCUUUCUUCCUUUCUCUCCACUCCAUCUCCAUCUUUGAACCUCCACUCCUCAUUCUCUGUUUGAUAGUUUAUAGAACUGAGACUGCAGGGUCGUUCCUCGCGACAAGAUCUUCGAUUUCUAUCGAUGAGUUUCUUAUUUGGGAUUGUUUUCCAUUGUCUGAAGUCGAGGUUGAACUUUCGCAAGUUCAAAGAUGCCUUGGGGUUCAUAAAGUUCGAGUCUAUAUUCGAAGGAGAAUGAAUUAGGAGUGAGAGUAUCAGGAGGUCCUGAUUGGAAGAACCAUUUGUUGUUCUAGGAACCUUAUAGGAUUAACCUUGUGGGUGGAGGUUAUCCAUCACAAAUGCCAAAUAUUCCAAGUACUUCUACCUCUAUGCUUGUUAUCCGGAUAACUAAGUCUAAUGGGUCUUUUAUGUUAUGACUUGUUGC